rnacentral:rRNA from 1 species
CCUACGGGAGGCAGCAGUGGGGAAUAUUGCACAAUGGAGGAAACCCUGAUGCAGCGACGCCGCGUGAGUGAAGAAGGAAUUCGGUGUGUAAAGCUCUAUCAGCAGGGAAGAAAAUGACGUUACCUGAGUAAGAAGCCCCGGCUAACUACGUGCCAGCAGCCGCGGUAAUGCGUAGGGGGCAAGCGUUAUCCGGAUUUACUGGGUGUAAAGGGGGCGUAGACGGCAGUGCAAGUCUGGAGUGAAAGGCGGGGGCUCAACCCCCGGACUGCUCUGGAAACUGUAGGGCUGGAGUGCAGGAGAGGUAGGCGGAAUUCCUGGUGUAGCGGUGAAAUGCGUAGAUAUUAGGAGGAACACCGGUGGCGAAGGCGGCUUACUGGACUGUAACUGACGUUGAGGCUCGAAGGCGUGGGGAGCAAACAGGAUUAGAUACCCGUGUAGUC